rnacentral:ncRNA from 2 species
UUCAUAUCAAGAGAAGUGGAGGGACUGGCCCGUUGAAACUUCGGCAACAUGAUUGUGCGUGUGCCAAUUCCAGAAGCACAGAUGGCUAAAGAUAAGAA